UCUUCAUUGGUCUAGUGGUCAUGAUUUCCGCUUGUCAAGAGUAGUUUCUCGUCAAGCGCGGGAGACCAGGGUUCGAUUCCCUGAUGGAGAG
rnacentral:tRNA from 1 species